GGUGAGGUAGCUCAGUUGGUAAGAGCGCAGGAUUCAUAACCCUGAGGUCGAGGGUUCAACUCCCUCCCUCACCACCA
rnacentral:tRNA from 4 species